rnacentral:rRNA from 1 species
GACGAACGCUGGCGGCGUGCUUAACACAUGCAAGUCGAACGGAAAGGCCCUGCUUUUGUGGGGUGCUCGAGUGGCGAACGGGUGAGUAACACGUGAGUAACCUGCCCUUGACUUUGGGAUAACUUCAGGAAACUGGGGCUAAUACCGGAUAGGAGCUCCUGCUGCAUGGUGGGGGUUGGAAAGUUUCGGCGGUUGGGGAUGGACUCGCGGCUUAUCAGCUUGUUUGUGUGGUAGUGGCUUACCAAGGCUUUGACGGGUAGCCGGCCUGAGAGGGUGACCGGCCACAUUGGGCCUGAGAUACGGACCAGACUCCUACGGGAGGCAGCAGUGGGGAAUAUUGCACAAUGGGCGGAAGCCUGAUGCAGCAACGCCGCGUGCGGGAUGACGGCCUUCGGGUUGUAAACCGCUUUCGCCUGUGACGAAGCGUGAGUGACGGUAAUGGGUAAAGAAGCACCGGCUAACUACGUG